AAUGAACGUUGGCGGCGUGGAUUAGGCAUGCAAGUCGAACGGGCCGGGUCUUCGGAUCCGGUCAGUGGCGCAAGGGUGAGUAAGGCGACGGUAACCUACCCCAGGGUUGGGAAUAGCCGCGGGAAACUGCGGGUAAUCCCCAGCGACGCGGAGUGCCGGCAUCGGCGUUCCGUCAAAGCUCUGGCGCCCUGGGACGGGCCGUCGUGGUAUUAGGUUGUUGGCGGGGUAACGGCCCACCAAGCCUCGGAUGCCUACCGGGCGUGCGAGCGUGGCCCGGCACACUGGGACUGAGUCACUGCCCAGACACCUACGGGUGGCUGCAGUCGAGAAUCUUCGGCAAUGGGCGCAAGCCUGACCGAGCGACGCCGCGUGGAGGAUGAAGGCCUUCGGGUUGUAAACUCCUGUCGAGGGGGAGGAAGGCGCAAGCUUGACCGAUCCCUGGAGGAAGCACGGGCUAAGUUCGUGCCAGCCGCCGCAGUAACAC
rnacentral:rRNA from 1 species